CUGGGGCCUAGAUUCCUGUGAAGCCUGUGGGGAAACAGUGGUGGAGAUGGUUGGGCCCUGCAACCCACUGAGAGGACCUGCCUGGGGAGGGAAGAGUGUGAUGUGAAGUACCAGCGGAGAGAAAUGGAUAGGAACUGACCACGACCCCCAUUCCCUGUGCCCUGCCAUACUCUGGAGGGAGAAGGUGGAGGAGUUGGGAAUGGAGGAGUGGAAUAAGCCUGGGGAAAAAAAAAAAAAGGAUGGGGAGAUGUUUUUGCCAUUUUCCUGUCAGGGAAUCCAGCUCAACUCUGUUGGAGUACUGCUGGCCUUCAAUAUCUCCUCAUCUCAAACAACGCUGGAAAUGAGUUGUGCUUCACUACAGAGGCUAACAGUGUUAUGCCAGUAAUCACUUCAAGAAUACUAUUUACCAUCUACAAAGAGAAAGCUGAGUCUGAAGAUACCUAACCAGGCUGACGGCAGAAGAAGCAGAUGGCCUAGAUGGGAGCUGAAGGAACCUUCAUCGCUGCAGCUUCAGAAGAUCAAAACGGUGCAUGGGAGAAGAGGCCAGAAGACUAAAAUAUUUCAGUAAAACUGGGGAAACUUCUGCUCAUUGAAUAAUUUCCUUAAAUAAUCUG